rnacentral:rRNA from 1 species
AAAGGUCCUGCCUGCCCAGUGAAAUAUUUUUAAACGGCCGCGGUAUUCUAACCGUGCAAAGGUAGCGUAAUCACUUGUCUUCCAAAUAAAGACCAGUAUGAAUGGCUAAAUGAGGACAAACCUGUCUCCUACACCCCAUCAGUGAAACUGAUCUUCCAGUCCAAAAGCUGGAAUAUUUACAUAAGACGAGAAGACCCUGUGGAGCUUAAAAUUUACUACUACAAACCCCUAUCCCACACAGCUAGUACAAGAUUUUAAGUUGGGGCGACUUCGGAACAAAACAAAACUUCCGAGCACAGAACCACCAUUUCUUACUAAGGCCUACAAGCCAAAGAAAACAUUGACCCAGUCAUACUGACCAACGAACCAAGUUACCCCAGGGAUAACAGCGCUAUCUUCUUCAAGAGUUCAUAUCGACAAGAAGGUUUACGACCUCGAUGUUGGAUCAGGGCACCCCAAUGGUGCAGCCGCUAUUAAAGGUUCGUUUGUUCAACGAUUAACAGCC